GAUAAACGCUGGCGGCGUGCCUUAUGCAUGCAAGUCGAACGAUCCUUCCCGCAAGGGAAGGGUAGUGGCAAACGGGUGAGUAAUACGUAGGUAACCUAUCCCUAAGCGGGGGAUAACUCCGGGAAACUGGGGCUAAUACCGCAUGUGGUUCUUUAUCGCAAGAUGAAGAACUAAAGCCGUAAGGCUCUUGGGGAGGGGCCUGCGUCCGAUUAGCUAGUUGGUGGGGUAACGGCCUACCAAGGCGAUGAUCGGUAGCUGGUCUGAGAGGAUAUCCAGCCACACGGGGACUGAGACACGGCCCCGACUCCUACGGGAGGCAGCAGCAAGGAAUUUUGCGCAAUGGGCGAAAGCCUGACGCAGCGACGCCGCGUGUGAGAUGACAGCCUUCGGGUCGUAAACCUCUUUUCUCAGGGAGGAAUAAAUGACAGUACCUGGGGAAUAAGUCACGGCUAACUACGUGCCAGCCGCCGCGGUAA
rnacentral:rRNA from 1 species